rnacentral:lncRNA from 1 species
GGAACCCGGCCGACAGAAGAUGGCGGAUGAGCAGCGUGCAGGGUUUUCUCCCUGUGGCUCACUCUCUCUUACUGUGCUGGGCGGUUGCUUCCUCUCCUGCUGCCCUUGGGAGUCAGACUCCAGGUUCUUCAGCCUGUGGCCCCUGGGGCUCUCGGGCCUUGGAGGACUGACUAGGAGCACACGGUGGGCCUCUCUGGUUUGGGGGCCUGGGACGUGGCGGAGCCCUGCAGCUUCUGUGCGGCCUGUUCUGGGCGUCGCGUUGAAACGCCAGCCAGUUCCCCAAAAAGAGCAUACGGGAGAGAUGAAGCAGUCCACUCCAAGAACAUUCUCAUCCUACGGAUUACGAGUCCCCCUGGGAUUACAGGAGUGUUGAAGAAAUGUUGUGACACAUCAGAACACCGCGAAAUACAUGGACACUUUCAAAUCAUGGAAGACUCAAGGGUCAGGAGGGCAUCUUUCUCGGCUCUUCACUGUGAGAACCUUGUGGGAUUCCUGAAGAUGAAACCAUGAACGCGAGGGAGUCUUGCUAAAACUGCAGCAUUCGAGAGGUUUUCACUCAUGCUGGCUCACACUUGUCCUCUAGCAAUUCAUCAAAAUUACCACGUAAGUGUUUCAACAGUUUAUGGCUCAGGUGGCCUCAGCUGUGAUGCUCCAAAUUUGCCUGUUUCUCCAGAUGCAGGGUAGCAGUUUGCUGUUUCUCCUGAGUUCUUUGAUGGAUUCAAGAAAAGUCAUGAUUUUCAGUUUGUUCUGAUUUUUUCUUGUGAGGGCAAAGUAAUGACUAAGCUUUAAUGUGUUUCAGCUAAAACUACAUGUAUUUUAAUAGCAAAAUGAGAUAUAAUUCACAUGUCAUAAAAGUCACCAUUUUUGGGUGCACAACUCAUUGGAUUUUAGUAUAUUCCAGGGUUAUGCAAGAAUAAAUAUUCUCUAAUUUUGGAACAUAUUUAUCUACUCAGAAAGAAACUUUGUGCUCAUUAACAGUUACUUAAUAUUCUCUCUCCCCUAACCUAUGGUAACUACUAGUCGACUUGCUAUAGAUUAGGUUACUUUGGAUAUUUCAUAUAUGUUGAAUCAUAAAAUAUGUGCCUUGGCUUCUUUCACUUACCGUAAUAUUUACAAAAUUCAUUCAUCUUACAAAGUACUUCAUUCUAUUUUUGAUUUUAUGGGUUAAUAAUAUUCUACUGUCUGGCUAUAUACAUGUAUGAAUAAUGUGGCAACAUUUUGUCCAUACACUCAUCAUGUGAUUAGUAUUUGCUUUGUUGUUGUUGUGUGUUUUUUAUUUUUCAGUUAUUAUGAAUAAUGAUUAUGAAUUCAGUUAUUAUGAAUAACUACAAUAAAUAGUUAUGCAUAAGUUUUUGUGAGG